rnacentral:tRNA from 1 species
GGUGGCUCAGUGGUAGAGUGCGUGCCUUGCGUGCAUGAGUCCUUGGGUUCAAUCCUCAGCACCA